AUGGUGCUAAAGGGUGUCUGUGCAUUGCCGGUGACAUCAAUAGUAGAGUAUACAUUCCAGAAGUUGAAUGUCUAUUUUCAAAAGUAUAGUGAAGAAACAUCCAACUUGAUGUCCGGGAAAAACAAGGCCAAAAAGAUGUACAAGUAUCCACCAAAGGUCGAUGAUUGGAUGGAAUACCAAGCAAGGAAGGCGGAUUCACACAAAAUCCAGUCCUUUGAUAACAUAUAAUUGAUUUACCAAGUUGAUGAGCACGGCGGAAUGUCGUGUGACGGCAUGCCAUAUGGAGGUGGCUCCUUCAAGGUUUAUCUCAAGUGCACGUGUUCAUGCGAGAGGCCUACAUUGUAUCAUCUCCCGUGCUCUCACUUGAUGGCUGCAUCUCGCACUAGAAAUGUGAGUGUCAACAUGACCAACAAUGUAAGAUUGGAGGAGUAUUCGAUGGAUGCGGUAAAAAAUACAUGGGCUACGAGGUUUCAUCCCUAUCUAGACCAAUCUAAAUGGCCGGAAUACCAUGGACCCCCACUAUACCCUGAUUUGGAAAUGAAGGUGGUGACACAUGGAAGACGGAAGACAAAGCAUUUCUUGGGUGACAUGGAUGAUUGGGGUGGUGGAUUCCAUAAGGAAUGGGGGAGCCAACAUUUCGUAGACCCUCAUGAUAUCAGCUGUUGCGGUGAAUGUAACAACGAGGGGCACACUAAUAGAGGUUGUAGCUCAAGGGGCAAAAGAAAGAGAUCAAAACGAGAUGGUGAUGGUGGUGAUGGUGGUGUCAGCCACGGUGAUGGUGGAGCUCAAGGACGUGGCCGUGGUGAUGAUGGAGCUCACGAACGUGGCCGUGGUGACGGUGGUGCUCGAGGACGUGGCCGUGCUGAUGGUGGAGCUCGAGGACGUGGCCGGGGUGACGGUGGAGCUCGAGGACAUGGCCAUGGUGACGGUGGAGCUCGAGGACGUGGCCGUUGA
rnacentral:rRNA from 1 species